AGAGCCAGGAAACCCUUGUGAUCCGGAAAAUUAGAAAUGUGGUCAAGGUCGGGACCCGGAACUGAGCAGGCCUUCGGUGGGCUGUCCCAGGGUGGAGACCAAGGAGAAGGGGAGGCUCAGCCAAGACUUUCACCCAGGGCAACGAGGGGCAGCCAGUCCUACGGGGUCACCUUCAGGGCUCAGUGGCUGCAGUUAUGAUACUGAAGGGAUAAGAGGAGUCAGAGGAAGGGAAGAAACCCCGUAUCUGGCCAGGCGGAGAGCUCACUGGUUCUGGAGCAAAAUCUUUCGGGACAACUGCAACAGGGCCGGGAGAGGUGAGAGCUCAACAACCUCAACGGAGGCAGAGAAUCUCACAGCAUCACCAGAGAGUUCCCCGGGCCGGCUGCUCUUCAGGCAGGCGUGUGUUUGUGGGAGAGGUGCACUGUUAAUGGCUCUGAGGCUCUGAAGCUCCGUCCAACUAUGGCUUAAAGAAGCUAAUAAAAACUUCACGGAGAUUUAGAGACAACUAAUGACAUCAGGAACGUUGGCUGCCAUGCCUACCUGCUCUAGUUCUCGUUUGGAAAUUCCCCAUGCUCAGCUGUGAAAGAACAGAAUGGAAACCAAUCAAGGGACGGGGGAUAUUGAUAUCUAGCCUACAUGGAUGGAGAAGACAUCGAAAGAUAGGGAGAAUGACAUCACAAAACCUUCAAUGCCUUCCAGUCCACAGGGAGGCGGUCACUCACAGAUGCAAUAACCUUUCGGGGUCUGCCUCUGAAAACAUUCAGUGAAAGUUGGUGACUUGGUUCAUUUUUCAGGCAAAGAAAUGAAGGCAUGGGUUGAAAAUAGACAGAGCUAUAAGGCUUUAAGAGUGGCAGCUUUCUGUCCAAAUUCCAACAAAAAUAGUUAUCAGAUCUCUCUCUCUUUUUUUUUAAAGGCAGCAGGAGAACAUAGAUCCAAAAUUCUGUGUAAUCCACUCAACUAAGACUAUAACAACAACAAACAGUUCUAUAGUGCAGUUUAUGUUAUUCUUGGCAGAGCUCAGAUCUCAGGUGACAUCAAAGGUGACUACAUAGAUAUAUAUACAAUGAAGUCAGCUUAUAAUUCAUUUCUAUUAGAUUUACAAAUUUAAACUGCUUAGGGCUUACAAGUUUCCGAGAGACAGAGAAUACCACAAAGAAGUGGAUAGAUGGCAGAUGACACAUGCGAGACCCAAAGUGCUAAUUUCCUGAAUAUACAAAGAGCUCUUACAAGUUAAUCAAAAGACAAAUAACUCAAUGAAGUAAUGGGCUCUUGCCUAUGUUAUGAAUAUUUUCAUCUGGUAUGACAUUUACUCUUUGAUUUCAUUAUUUUUGUGAUUUUCAUAGGCUUGUAUUUUAUGUAGUCAAAUCUCUAUGUCUUUCUAUCACUUUUGUGUUUAGAAGGACGUUCCUCCUUCUGAAGUACACAUAUUUGAUUUUGGAUUUGAGAUGGCAUUCAUUUCUGAUCCAUCUAUAAAGUUUUUGGUGUGUGGUUAAAGGUAAAAAUAGACUCACAUUUUCCUAAAUAAUUAGCCAGUUGUUCCAGCUCCAUUUAUUGAGUGGUCCUUCCUUUCCCAACUGAUGCGCGGUGUAACCUUUAUCAUAUAUUAAAUACUCAUGUGUG
rnacentral:lncRNA from 1 species